AAACAUACUACGUAUCGAUUUGCUACCUGAAACUUCGGUACUUCACCGAGCAAACUCGAAUGCUUUGUCGAAACUAUAGAUAUCCAAGUCACUGUUCAGAAAUGGAUUCCUGAAUAUUAUUACUCUGUCGAGUUGGAUACAAAUUGCGACGUGUAAGGGCAGAGCUACAAUUUCUUCUUGUCAACCGGACGAGAUGAGAGUGGAUUUGGAGGGGGGAGCUGGUGCAACUAGAGCGCCCGUAAGGCCCUCGCGUCCGUCAGAUCGUCGAUCAGACGGUGGAUGUCCUGCCACGACGACCCGCCCUCGCCGACGGCGGCGCGCGCGCGGUCCGCCAGCUCGCUCGCCCUGGCCCUGGUCCGGUCCCCGUCGCCNNN
rnacentral:lncRNA from 1 species